GUCCAACUGACGAGUCCCAAACAGGACGAAACGCGCGUCCUGGAU
rfam:Schistosoma margrebowiei strain Zambia genome assembly, scaffold: SMRZ_contig0003643